AGACGGUUGGCCGAGUGGUCUAAGGCGCCAGAUUUAGGCUCUGGUCCGAAAGGGCGUGGGUUCAAAUCCCACAAUGUUUA
rnacentral:tRNA from 1 species